GAGGGUAUGGCUCAGUGGUAGAGUACUUGCCUAGCAUGCAUGAAGCCCUGGGUUCAAUCCCCACUACCCUAC
rnacentral:tRNA from 1 species